GCUUCCCUGCACACUUUGGGAGAGCAGAAUAGGAGACCCUAUUUUUGCUUCCCUUCCUCCUCAAUUUUCCCUCCCUUGAGUGCCUUAAAGGUGUUUUGAG